rnacentral:rRNA from 1 species
AAGAACCAACAGGGAUUACCUCAGUAACGGCGAGUGAAGCGGUAACAGCUCAAAUUUGAAAUCUGGCUCUUUCAGGGUCCGAGUUGUAAUUUGUAGAAGAUGCUUUGGGUGUGGCUUCAGUCUAAGUUCCUUGGAACAGGACGUCAUAGAGGGUGAGAAUCCCGUAUGUGAUUGGUGGCUUUCGCCCGUGUAAAGCUCUUUCGACGAGUCGAGUUGUUUGGGAAUGCAGCUCAAAAUGGGUGGUAAAUUUCAUCUAAAGCUAAAUAUUGGCCAGAGACCGAUAGCGCACAAGUAGAGUGAUCGAAAGAUGAAAAGCACUUUGGAAAGAGAGUUAAACAGUACGUGAAAUUGUUGAAAGGGAAGCGUUGGCAACCAGACUCGUAUGCCGCUAAUCAUCCGGGGUUCUCCCCGGUGCACUUGGUGGUUUUCGGGCCAGCAUCGGUUUCGGUGGUGGGAUAAAGGCCUUGGGAAUGUAGCUCCUUUCGGGGAGUGUUAUAGCCCUCGGUGCAAUGCCGCCUACCGGGACCGAGGACCGCGCUUCGGCUAGGAUGCUGGCGUAAUGGUUGUCAACGGCCCGUCUUGAAACACGGACCAAGGAGUCUAACAUCUAUGCGAGUAUUUGGGUGUUAAACCCAUAUGCGUAAUGAAAGUGAACGGAGGUAAGAGCCCUUAAGGGUGCAUUAUCGACCGAUCCUGAUGUCUUCGGAUGGAUUUGAGUAAGAGCAUAGCUGUUGGGACCCGAAAGAUGGUGAACUAUGCCUAAAUAGGGUGAAGCCAGAGGAAACUCUGGUGGAGGCUCGCAGCGGUUCUGACGUGCAAAUCGAUCGUCAAAUUUGGGUAUAGGGGCGAAAGACUAAUCGAACCAUUGGAAUAACUACUAGGUGGUUAAGAGGCGCAAGCCUAGUCCUGCACAGGGCAACAUUGUCAAAUUGUUCGGGGACCUCCCGCACUUCUCAGCUACCGCAGCCCGGCGAAAGCGGCGCGCAACAGGUAACGCUCUCGGGGAUGUAAGAACUGCUGAAAGGGGACGAUCCGCAGCUUCCCCCUACGGCUUUGCCUA